AACGUGCUCCGGGGUCGGUGUAAGUCCGAACCGGCGGUAAUAGUCCGCGACCCGCGUCCUGUGGAACAGCAAAUGUUCCCCCAGGCAGCGGUUGAACCGGUGGAAUUCCGGUACCGACAGUCAAAGUCUGGAUGGGAGAAGCACGUA
rnacentral:ncRNA from 2 species